UGCCGUGAUUUUUCUGGGAACCUCAGCUGGCUCAGCCAUUUAACCAGCCAACCGCAUGUGAAUAAGAUUACGGUAAUGGUCUACAUAGGACUUUUCGUCUUGGGAACAUCCAAAGUAGAUGUGAAGGCAAGCCAAUCGUUUAUUCGUUUCUGUCGAACACCUUUAUGAUUGAGCCAACUGCAUGAGAAAGAAGCAAUGAAGUGUUUACACAUGGAGAAAAAAAAACUGUCAACUCUAACAGAACAAUGAUGAUGACGAAAUGAACUGCAAAGAAAGGAUAAUCUUACACAAGAGCCUGUGUUUUCAGGUCCUGUUCAAGCCGGGUCUUACUGUCGUGAAUCUCGCCAAGACGGGAUUUGAGCUUCUCAUAGU